UUCAUGGAGAGUUUGAUCCUGGCUCAGGACGAACGCUGGCGGCGUGCCUAAUACAUGCAAGUCGAGCGGAUAGAUGGGAGCUUGCUCCCUGAUGUCAGCGGCGGACGGGUGAGUAACACGUGGGUAACCUGCCUGUAAGACUGGGAUAACUCCGGGAAACCGGGGCUAAUACCGGAUGCUUGAUUGAACCGCAUGGUUCAAUUAUAAAAGGUGGCUUCGGCUACCACUUACAGAUGGACCCGCGGCGCAUUAGCUAGUUGGUGAGGUAACGGCUCACCAAGGCGACGAUGCGUAGCCGACCUGAGAGGGUGAUCGGCCACACUGGGACUGAGACACGG
rnacentral:rRNA from 1 species